UACGUAGGGGGCAAGCGUUGUCCGGAAUCAUUGGGCGUAAAGAGCGUGUAGGCGGCCCGGUAAGUCCGCUGUGAAAGUCCAGGGCUCAACCCUGGGAUGCCGGUGGAUACUGUCGGGCUCGAGUCCGGAAGAGGAGUGUGGAAUUCCGUGGUGUAGCGGUGAAAUGCGCAGAUAUCAGGAGGAACACCGAUGGCGAAGGCAGGUCUCUGGGCAUUAACUGACGCUGAGGAGCGAAAGCAUGGGGAGCGAACAGGA
rnacentral:rRNA from 1 species